GUAGGUGAACCUGCGGAAGGAUCAUUAGUGAUUUUGAAUGGUUUUUGGGAGGUUGGGUCGAGGGGGAUUUCUGCGCUCAUCGGGUUGUUGCUGGCCUUUCUCGGGCACCGUGCACACCCGUUGACUCCGCACCUCUUUGACCUUUCCUUUUUUGCGAUCUACACCUGUGCACCUCUGUAGGUCUUUCGGGACCUAUGUUUUUAUACCUCACACCUUUGUAUGUUUUGGCGCGCAAUGUCUUUUGCGGAGCUUGCUUGAUCCGCAUCCUUCCACCGGGAAGGGUUUUGGACAAGUGAGCAAAGCAGGGGCCUAUAAAAGUUUUAUACAACUUUCAGCAACGGAUCUCUUGGCUCUC
rnacentral:misc_RNA from 1 species